rnacentral:lncRNA from 1 species
GAAUAGCAGAUUCUAUCCAUUAUGGAUGCAUACCUGAUUCAGAAACACUUCCAGUGGAAUUCGCCUCCAGUCAGAUAUGAUGCUUUCCAUAUGGUUAUGUAUGACCUCUGGUUACGCCAUCACACCAUCCAAUACUGAUUCUAAGGGCUUGGUUGUUUCUGCAGUAGAUGAAUGUCCAACGCGCAUCAGGAUCAAAACUACAGUUUAUAGCUUCUGGUAAAUCAUGGCCGAUCGGCAACUGAAUACAAGUUGAGCUUGUGUGGAAGUGAAACCAAACAAAGAUCAAGACUCACUCUUGUUUUGUAUACUCCCUUUACUUCAGUUAUAGUAACCCAGAGAGGCACUGUAAAUAACUACGUUACAGUUUUGUAUGUAACAGCUAGUUUUUCGAUAUUUUUGCAUCUGCUAAGUUUUAUAUUUAUUAUUAUUUAUUUGCUAUGAAGCUUUUUGUUGCGUU